rnacentral:rRNA from 1 species
GACGAACGCUGGCGGCGUGCUUAACACAUGCGAGUCGAACGGAAAGGCCUGCUUUCCCUUGUGGAUUGCGGGUACUCGAGUGGCGAACGGGUGAGUAACACGUGAGUGAUCUGCCCCCAACUUGGGUAUAAGCCUGGGAAACUGGGUCUAAUUCCCGAUAGGACUGCAGGGUGGUGCCUGUGGUGGAAAACGAUUUUCUAGUGGUUGGGGGUGAGCUCGCGGCCUAUCAGCUUGUUGGUGGGGUAAUGGCCUACCAAGGCGGCGACGGGUAGCCGGCCUGAGAGGGUGGACGGCCACAUUGGGACUGAGAUACGGCCCAGACUCCUACGGGAGGCAGCAGUGGGGAAUAUUGCACAAUGGGCGGAAGCCUGAUGCAGCGACGCCGCGUGGGGGAUGACGGCCUUCGGGUUGUAAACUCCUUUCGACCGCGAGGAAGCCACCUGGUUGGAAGGGUGGUGACGGUAGUGGUAGAAGAAGCACCGGCUAACUACGUG